AGUCACACAGUAAGCACAAAGCGAACUAUUCUUUUGCCUUUCACUAAAGAAUACCAUAUGGUCGCUAUAAAUAGUGGCAUUCGCCAAUUUUUAGAGGGUUCGCCUUUAAAAUGUGAGAC